rnacentral:rRNA from 1 species
CGCGUAGGCGGUUUGCACAGUCAGACGUGAAAUUCCUGGGCUCAACCUGGGGGCUGCGUUUGAUACGUGUAGACUUGAGUGCGGAAGAGGGUCGUGGAAUUCCCAGUGUAGAGGUGAAAUUCGUAGAUAUUGGGAAGAACACCGGUGGCGAAGGCGGCGACCUGGUCCGAUACUGACGCUGAGGCGCGAAAGCGUGGGGAGCAAACA